GAUGAACGCUAGCGGCAGGCUUAAUACAUGCAAGUCGAGGGGCAGCAGGACUGUAGCAAUACAGUUGCUGGCGACCGGCAAACGGGUGCGGAACACGUACGCAACCUUCCUUUAAGUGGGGAAUAGCCCAGGGAAACUUGGAUUAAUACCUCGUAACAUUAUGAAAUGGCAUCAUUUUAUAAUUAUAGCUCCGGCGCUUAAAGAUGGGCGUGCGACUGAUUAGGUAGUUGGCGGGGUAACGGCCCACCAAGCCUUCGAUCAGUAACUGGUGUGAGAGCACGACCGGUCACACGGGCACUGAGACACGGGCCCGACUCCUACGGGAGGCAGCAGUAAGGAAUAUUGGUCAAUGGACGCAAGUCUGAACCAGCCAUGCCGCGUGGAGGAUGAAGGUCCUCUGGAUUGUAAACUUCUUUUAUCUGGGAAGAAACCCAUAUUUUCUAGUGUGGUUGACGGUACCAGAUGAAUAAGCACCGGCUAACUCCGUGCCAGCAGCCGCCGUAACAC
rnacentral:rRNA from 1 species